rnacentral:rRNA from 1 species
GGAGUUAGCCGGUGCUUCUUCUGCGAGUAACGUCACAGAUGUAAGGUAUUAACUUACACCCUUUCCUCCUCGCUGAAAGUGCUUUACAACCCGAAGGCCUUCUUCACACACGCGGCAUGGCUGCAUCAGGGUUUCCCCCAUUGUGCAAUAUUCCCCACUGCUGCCUCCCGUAGGAGUCUGGGCCGUGUCUCAGUCCCAGUGUGGCUGAUCAUCCUCUCAGACCAGCUAGGGAUCGUCGCCUAGGUGAGCCUUUACCUCACCUACUAGCUAAUCCCACCUGGGCUUAUCCAUCAGCGCAAGGCCCGAAGGUCCCCUGCUUUCCCCCGUAGGGCGUAUGCGGUAUUAGCAGUCGUUUCCAACUGUUAUCCCCACAAAUGGGCAAAUUCCCAGGCAUUACUCACCCGUCCGCCGCUCGUCAUCUUCAAAAGCAAGCUUUUGAAAUGUUACCGCUCGACUUGCAUGUGUUAGGCCUGCCGCCACGCGUCAUCUCGAACCAACGAUACAACUUACUGA